AUUGAACGCUGGCGGCAUGCUUUACACAUGCAAGUCGAACGGCAGCGCGGGCUUCGGCCUGGCGGCGAGUGGCGAACGGGUGAGUAAUGCAUCGGAACGUGCCCAGUAGUGGGGGAUAGCCCGGCGAAAGCCGGAUUAAUACCGCAUACGACCUGAGGGUGAAAGCGGGGGGCCGAAAGGCCUCGCGCUAUUGGAGCGGCCGAUGUCGGAUUAGCUAGUUGGUGGGGUAAAGGCUUACCAAGGCGACGAUCCGUAGCUGGUCUGAGAGGACGACCAGCCACACUGGGACUGAGACACGGCCCAGACUCCUACGGGAGGCAGCCGUGGGGAAUUUUGGACAAUGGGGGCAACCCUGAUCCAGCCAUGCCGCGUGCGGGAAGAAGGCCUUCGGGUUGUAAACCGCUUUUGUUCGGGAAGAAAUCCUCUGGGCUAAUACCCCGGGGGGAUGACGGUACCGGAAGAAUAAGCACCGGCUAACUACGUG
rnacentral:rRNA from 1 species